rnacentral:rRNA from 1 species
AUUGAACGCUGGCGGCAGGCCUAACACAUGCAAGUCGAGUGGAGCGGCGGACGGGUGAGUAAUGCCUAGGAAUCUGCCUGGUAGUGGGGGAUAACGUCCGGAAACGGGCGCUAAUACCGCAUACUAUCCGCUCAGCCUAGGGCGGAUUAGCUAGUUGGGGGGGUGAAGGCCUACCAAGGCGACCAUCCGUAACUGGUCUGAGAGGAUGAUCAGGGACAAUGGAACGGAGAAACGGUCCAGACUGCUACGGGAGGCAGCAGUGGGGAAUGGUGGACAAUGGGCGAAAGCCUGAUACAGCCAUGCCGCGGGUGUGAAGAAGGUCUUCGGAUUGGAAAGCACUUUAAGUUGGGAGGCGUUACCAACAGAAUAAGCACCGGCUAACUUCGUGCCAGCAGCAGCGGUAAGAC